UUGGGAUUAAUCGAAAUCGAUCCCCUGCUCCCCAUUCAUCCAGCAUAUGCCUUCAAGAGGCUUCCAACACGUGAGAAAGGAAACAUGGAUGAGAGAAUCUGUUAGAAGUCGUUGGAAAUAGCAAGAGGAGAGAAGGAGGGAAUGCGUGUUUGCGAGAUUGGGUUACACUCGCCUGAAUUUUGGUGAUUUUGGGACGAAUUUGGUGUUUGGAGAAGAGGAACAUGGGUGCGUCAUUU
rnacentral:lncRNA from 1 species